UACGUAGGGGGCAAGCGUUGUCCGGAUUUAUUGGGCGUAAAGAGCGUGUAGGCGGCCAGAUAGGUCUGCUGUGAAAACUCGAGGCUUAACCUCGAGAUGUCGGCGGAAACCAUCUGGCUAGAGUCCGGAAGAGGAGAGUGGAAUUCCUGGUGUAGCGGUGAAAUGCGCAGAUAUCAGGAAGAACACCCGUGGCGAAGGCGGCUCUCUGGGAGCGGGUACUGACGCUGAGACGCGAAAGCGUGGGGAGCGAACAGGAUUAAGAUACC
rnacentral:rRNA from 1 species